rnacentral:lncRNA from 1 species
ACGCCUGAACGGCCAUGUUCUGGAAGGAGACUUUUCCCCUCUGAGCCUCAGUUUCCCCAUAGACAAGGCUAUCUCCUGGAGCCCUUGCCGCCCUGCUCCCCUAGGAUUCUGUCACCCUCUCUACCCUCCAUGAAACGUACGCUGUCACCAGAGGAGAACAGGAAAUUGCCUCUCAUAGUAACAUGACUUGCCUUCCCCUUUACCAGAUUAUCACUGAUCUGAAGACAGAGAGGCGGCGGGACUCUGAUUUGGGGGUCUGGGCUUGCCAGAAGCUCCUCAGCAGUCGGUGCCAUCGGCCGCGACUGGUGAACCUGAGGCUCAAGAGGUAUCUCCAGGUUUUGGUCACAAGAGAUCCAGCGUUCAAGAAGGCACCCACUCACCCCUGCAUCGGGUGUCCUGGGGCCGGACUGGGCAGUGAUUUCACGCACGUCGUCUUCUUCAGAUCGCUGGUGGACAUAUGUGACACCCCUCUGUCCUUUGGCAUUGCGUUCCUUUGCAUCGAGGUGUUCCAUUAGGUAGGGUUUCUCUUCAUUUGAUAUUGGGGCUUUCCUUGGAAUUAAUGCUCUGUUUAUGAAAU